rnacentral:rRNA from 1 species
GACGAACGCUGGCGGCGUGCUUAACACAUGCAAGUCGAACGGAAAGGCCCUGCUUUGGUGGGGUGCUCGAGUGGCGAACGGGUGAGUAACACGUGAGUAACCUGCCCUUGACUUUGGGAUAACUUCAGGAAACUGGGGCUAAUACCGGAUAGGAGCUCCUGCUGCAUGGUGGGGGUUGGAAAGGUUCGGCGGUUGGGGAUGGACUCGCGGCUUAUCAGCUUGUUGGUGGGGUAGUGGCUUACCAAGGCUUUGACGGGUAGCCGGCCUGAGAGGGUGACCGGCAACAUUGGGACUGAGAUACGGCCCAGACUCCUCCGGGAGGCAGCAGUGGGGAAUAUUGCACAAUGGGCGGAAGCCUGAUGCAGCAACGCCGCGUGCGGGAUGACGGCCUUCGGGUUGUAAACCGCUUUCGCAUGUGACGAAGCGUGAGUGACGGUAAUGGGUAAAGAAGCACCGGCUAACUACGUG